GACGAACGCUGGCGGCGUGCCUAAUACAUGCAAGUAGAACGCUGAAGCUUGGUGCUUGCACCGAGCGGAUGAGUUGCGAACGGGUGAGUAACGCGUAGGUCACCUGCCUGGUAGCGGGGGAUAACUAUUGGAAACGAUAGCUAAUACCGCAUAAGAGUAGAUGUUGCAUGACAUUUGCUUAAAAGGUGCAAUUGCAUCACUACCAGAUGGACCUGCGUUGUAUUAGCUAGUUGGUGAGGUAACGGCUCACCAAGGCAACGAUACAUAGCCGACCUGAGAGGGUUAUCUGCCACACUGGGACUGAGACACGGCCCAGACUCCCACGGGAGGCAGCAGUAGGGAAUUGUCGGCAAUGGACGGAAGUCUGACCGAGCAACGCCGCGUGAGUGAAGAAGGUUUUCGGAGCGUAAAGCUCUGUUGUAAGAGAAGAACGAGUGUGAGAGUGGAAAGUUCACACUGUGACGGUAUCUUACCAGAAAGGGACGGCUAACUACGUG
rnacentral:rRNA from 1 species